rnacentral:rRNA from 1 species
AUGAACGCUGGCGGCGUGCCUAAUACAUGCAAGUCGCGCGAACAGACGAGGAGCUUGCUCCUCUGACGUUAGCGGCGGACGGGUGAGUAACACGUGGAUAACCUACCUAUAAGACUGGGAUAACUUCGGGAAACCGGAGCUAAUACCGGAUAACAUGUUGAACCGCAUGGUUCAACAGUGAAAGACGGUCUUGCUGUCACUUAUAGAUGGAUCCGCGCCGCAUUAGCUAGUUGGUAAGGUAACGGCUUACCAAGGCAACGAUGCGUAGCCGACCUGAGAGGGUGGUCGGCCACACUGGAACUGAGACACGGUCCAGACUCCUACGGGAGGCAGCAGUAGGGAAUCUUCCGCAAUGGGCGAAAGCCUGACGGAGCAACGCCGCGUGAGUGAAGAAGGUCUUCGGAUCGUAAAACUCUGUUAUUAGGGAAGAACAAAUGUGUAAGUAACUAUGCACGUCUUGACGGUACCUAAUCAGAAAGCCACGGCUAACUACGUG